rnacentral:rRNA from 1 species
CCUGAUUAAUAUAGGAGGUCCAGCCUGCCCAGUGACUCUGUUUAACGGCCGCGGUAUUCUAACCGUGCGAAGGUAGCGUAAUCACUUGUUCUUUAAAUGAGGACUAGUAUGAAUGGCAUCACGAGGGUUAUACUGUCUCCUUUUCCAAAUCAGUGAAACUAAUCUCCCCGUGAAGAAGCGGAGAUAAAAAUAUAAGACGAGAAGACCCUAUGGAGCUUAAAACUUUCAACAAUUAUAUUUUAUUUAUAAACCUAAAGGUAACCAAACUAAUCCUUAUAAUAUGUUUGUUAGUUUUCGGUUGGGGUGACCGCGGAGUAAAACCUACCCUCCAUAUUGAAUUAAAUUAUUCUUAUUAGCAAAAAACUACAAUUUUAUGCAUCAAAAAAUUGACAUUAUUGACCCAAUAUUUUGAUCAACGAAC